CGACUACAGCCACUAUUUUAAGACCAUCGAGGAUCUACGUGAUAAGAUUCACGGGGCCACCAUUGACAACUCCAAGAUCGUCCUGCAGAUCGACAAUGCCCGUCUGGCUGCAGAUG
rnacentral:pre_miRNA from 1 species